rnacentral:misc_RNA from 1 species
AGUUUUUUAAUCAAAGCUUAUAAAAAAAAAGUUUAUUAUAAUUUUUUUUAAAAAGAAAAGAAUACAAUAUGGACGCAGAUACGAAAAAAGAAAAUUUAUCAAAUUUAGAAACAGAUAAGGAAAAAUUAUUAAAAAUACAAAUUAAAUUAGCAAAAACAAUUCAAGAAGAAGCUACCAACCUUUUGAUUAAUUUUCGUUGCGAUCUUGAAUCUUACUAUGUCAUUACGUAAGUGCUUUUUUUUUAUUUACCAUAAAACAAAUUAUCAUAUUUUUUAAAAUGGUUUCUACAGAUUUUACACGAUAGCCUAGGCCAGCAAUUUUUUUUUCAAUCUUUUACAACGUCAGUCAUAUUUUUUUUUUUUAAAUAUGACUGACGUUGUAAAAGAACGUUUAAAAACUUUUAAAAAAACUUUAAAAUUCAAGAAGAAGCUACCAACCUUUUGAUUAAUUUUCGUUGCGAUCUUGAAUCUUACUAUGUCAUUACUACUGAACGAAAUCCAGAUAAUAUAAUGAGUCGACUUUCUGAAAACACAAGCGCACUAUUACAAAUUAAUAAACUUUUGACCAAACUUAAAAAUAACCAAAUUCAAAUCAGAGUCUUUAAAAAAAGAUAUCAACAACAACUAAGAAAAGCGUCAUGGGCACAUGAAAGAAAAAAAAGAGUCAAUUACGAAAAAAACAUGGAAAUAUUCGAUGAAAUUAAAAACAAAAUGAAAAAAAAAACAUUUUGCGAUAAUAACGAUCCAAUGCAAGAACCAUUUUGUAUUAAACAAGAAAGAAUAUCAGAAGACUCGAUCAAACAAGAAGAAUUGUCAGAUGACGAUUUAAAUUUUAAAUAAUUUGUAUGCUUUUUUUAUUAUUUAUAAAAAAAAUAAUUUUUUUGUUACAAAUUUUUAUAAUAAGCUUGUCUUUCUUCGUAUGACAUUUGUGAAAGAUCAGUAGGCAACGUUUUUAUUAGCGUUUCUUGCGUUUUUACAGGCGUUUCUUUCUUUUUUCCUUUAAUUUUAUUAUAAAGCGAAUUAGCUAAAGUGCCUAAAACGUCAGCAUUUUGAAUUGCAAAUUUUCCAAUCAUUUUUGCAUUGUCCACUGUUAUUAACGAAGCCAAUCCUUUUCCUCGUUUUACCUUUUUUCGAGUUUUUCGCUUGGUUUUUUUGUAAUGCGUAUUUCUUUUUUGUCUUUUUUUCAUCUAAAUAUAUAAAAUAAAAUAAGUUAUUUUCUUACUUUUUUUAGAUAAAUAAAAAAUAUGAAUUUCGAUAAAAUCAAUUUCACUAACGACUUAUGCUGUAUGACUAUGGGGAUGCUGCAAACAUUACUAGAAUAUGAUUUAGAAUUACGAAAAAUGUCACCCAAUGAUCAGCAAAUAGAAGUCUACGAAUAUCUUGUGAAGAAAUUUGAAAAAACCUUUUUAAAUUAUUUUGCGCUCUUAUCGAGUGAUCAAAAACAAGCAAUAAUAGACACUAAAAUACUUGAACAUUAUUUCGAUGUUUUUAAUUUUACAAUGUAAAUUAUUUAAUUAUAAAAUUCUUUUUUUUAAAAACAAUAUCAUAACAACAACUUUUUCAAUUUUUUUACCUUUUUGUUAAUACCCAUUUAUGUACUAUAUCUCCUACCACACCGUUUUUAAUAUUAUUUUUUGUAUUUUUAUAUUUUUGUUUUGUUGCGCGUUUUUUGUACCAAACCGUUUUGCAAUCCAUCUUUUUUACUGUUCGAUUUGCAAUUUCUUUACUAUCCAUUUUGUUUACUACAACUUGAGGCUGUCGACCUAAUUGACGCCAUUGAUUUGCAAUUUUUCCACCGU